rnacentral:rRNA from 1 species
AUUGAACGCUGGCGGCAUGCUUUACACAUGCAAGUCGAACGGUAACAGGUUAAGCUGACGAGUGGCGGACGGGUGAGUAAUGCAUCGGAACGUGCCCGAUCGUGGGGGAUAACGCAGCGAAAGCUGCGCUAAUACCGCAGACGAUCUGAGGAUGAAAGCGGGGGACCGUAAGGCCUCGCGCGAUCGGAGCGGCCGAUGUCAGAUGAGGUAGGUGGAGGGGUAAAGGCUCACCAAGGCAACGAUCUGUAGCUGGUCUGAGAGGACGACCAGCCACGCGGGGACUGAGACACGGCUCAGACUCUAAAGGGAGGCAGGAGUGGGUAAUUGUGGACAAUGGGAGAAAGCCUGUUCCAGCAAUGCCGCGUGCAGGAAGAAGUCCUUCGGGUUGUAAACUGCUUUUGUACGGAGCGAAAAGGCUCUCUCUAAUACAGGGGGCUCAUGACGGUACCGUAAGAAUAAGCACCGGCUAACUACGUGCCAGCAGCCGCCGUAA